ACUUGAAACACAAUGAUCAAGAAUCACUCUUGAUUCAAUUAGUAGUUUUGAACAAUUAAUUGGGCAUUCUUAAAAAUUGUUUUAAAAUGUCAAUUGUGUUAGUGAUUAAACCAAGAAAGAAGUGUCUAAAUCUAUAAAAGGUUUAAAGACUUUAGUCACUUAAAUAACAAGACAUUAACUUAGUGAAGAAUGAAACAAAUAAGCUUGAAAUGUUUCAAAGCUACUUCACAAUGUCUUCUACCAAUAUAAUCCACUUUUAUACAUUUUGAAUGUAUGAAAUGAUUUCUCAUUAAAGU
rnacentral:lncRNA from 1 species